rnacentral:lncRNA from 1 species
UUUUGCCAGCAGAAAUUUUUUAAAGUUUGUGAAUCCAAGAACAGCAAAAGUGCUAUUUCAUAAGUAUAAGUAUUCACAGAAACUCUUAGUCAUUUUAGUUUGGAGAAUGUAUUUGCUUAGAAUCCACAGUGAGACAUGCUCAUCAGUGAAGCUACUGUGGCAUUUGAAGAGGCUUAAGAACUAACAGAUGGAGGAAGAUGGAGAUGGAGAUGCAGAUGACUCCUUCCUUCUAGGUCAAGGAGAGGCUUCAGGACUUCCUCAGUUGUGGGGUCACAAUGGAAUUCUGGAAUUCUGACCCUGAACUCUACAUCACACAGACUUAACCACCCAAUCUCAGAAAGUCCUGAAGAACUACUGACCUAUCAUCUGAGGGCAGCACCUUUACCCUCAAAAACUAACAUGGUGGAGUGACAUAAGAAUGUUCACCCCGGCCUACGAAGAAGGCUGAGGCAGUUCUGCAGAGGACCUGGAAGAGAACCCGGCAGAAAGCAGCAAUUCCUACGGGGGCUCGAUUCUGAUGGUAUUGACUUAGGGAAGCGGGAAUGCCAAUAUCAUUUUAAAGCAAUCGAGAGGUCAGUCUUCAUUCAAGUGCUCAUACCGGAGGAGAACGACUGCGUGUUUAAGAGAGACUGUUCUCAUGUCCUUUCAGUCCCGGGACAAGUUCUGUCCUCUGAGAGGGCCAGGAGAAAUCGGUUGGCCUUACUCCAUCCUGUUUGUAAAAGCUUUUCCAGACCGUGACUGCCGCUCUUCUUUACGUAUGCUUUCUAGACAGAACGUGUCCAGUUUCCUAACUUGAAAAAAAAAACAAAACAACCCUCAUUAUUCGGCACUUUGAUCAGUUGAGGUUUUGCUAUGAGCUCUGUUGCAUCUGUUUAUGAUUUGAUUAUAUAUUUCGUCAGGAUGAAAACGUUCACGUAUAAUGGAAAGAGGGGAAUAUUUCAUCUUUGAUAUAAAAAC